UAGCUUUCCUCUACGUGCAGAUGCAGGG
rnacentral:sRNA from 1 species